rnacentral:rRNA from 1 species
UGGGGAAUAUUGCACAAUGGGGGAAACCCUGAUGCAGCGACGCCGCGUGAACGAAGAAGGUAUUCGUAUCGUAAAGUUCUGUCCUAUGGGAAGAUAAUGACAGUACCAUAGAAGAAAGCUCCGGCUAAAUACGUGCCAGCAGCCGCGGUAAUACGUAUGGAGCGAGCGUUGUCCGGAAUUAUUUGGCGUAAAGGGUACGCAGGCGGUUUAAUAAGUCGAAUGUUAAAGAUCGGGGCUCAACCCCGCAAAGCAUUGGAAACUGAUAAACUUGAGUAGUGGAGAGGAAAGUGGAAUUCCUAGUGUAGUGGUGAAAUACGUAGAUAGUAGGAGGGAUACCAGUAGCGAAGGCGACUUUCUGGACACAAACUGACGCUGAGGUACGAAAGCGUGGGGAGCGAACAGG